GACGAACGCUGGCGGCGUGGAUUAGGCAUGCAAGUCGGACGGUAGGGCUUUAUCGUAAGAUAGAGUUUGAGAGUGGCGAACGGGUGAGUAACACGUAGGAAUCUACCCUUAAGACGGGGACAACCCAGGGAAACUUGGGCUAAUACCGGAUGAGAGUGCGAGAGAUUGCAUUUAAAAGGAUGGCGAAAGUUGUCGCUUAGGGAUGAGCCUGCGGUCUAUUAGUUAGUUGGUGAGGUAAGAGCUCACCAAGGCGAUGAUAGAUAGGCGGCCUGAGAGGGCGACCGGCCACACUGGGACUGAGACACGGCCCAGACUCCUACGGGAGGCAGCAGUGGGGAAUAUUGCACAAUGGGCGAAAGCCUGAUGCAGCGACGCCGCGUGAGGGAUGACGGCCUCGGUUGUAACGUCUUCUAGCAGGAGAAGCGAAAGUAGACGGUACCGUGCAGAAGAAGACACCGGCUAACUACGUGCCAGCAGCCGCGGUAAACGUACGUACU
rnacentral:rRNA from 1 species